rnacentral:rRNA from 1 species
AUUGAACGCCGGCGGCAGGCUUAACACAUGCAAGUCGAGCGGGGUGAUGGUGCUUGCACUAUCACUUAGCGGCGGACGGGUGAGUAAUGCUUAGGAAUCUGCCCAUUAGUGGGGGACAACAUCUCGAAAGGGAUGCUAAUACCGCAUACGUCCUACGGGAGAAAGCAGGGGAUCACUUGUGACCUUGCGCUAAUAGAUGAGCCUAAGUCGGAUUAGCUAGGUGGUGGGGUAAAGGCCUACCAAGGCGACGAUCUGUAGCGGGUCUGAGAGGAUGAUCCGCCACACUGGGACUGAGAAACGGCCCAGACUCCGACGGGAAGCAGCAGUGGGGAAUAUUGGACAAUGGGGGCAACCCUGAUCCAGCCAUGCCGCGUGCGGGAAGAAGGCCUUCGGGUUGUAAACCGCUUUUGGUCGGGAAGAAAAGGCACCGGAUAACACCUGGUGUUCUUGACGGUACUGACAGAAUAAGCACCGGCUAACUACGUGCCAGCAGCCGCGGUAA